GAACGCUGGCGGCAGGCCUAACACGUGCAAGUCGAGCGGUAACAUUUCUAGCUUGCUAGAAGAUGACGAGCGGCGGACGGGUGAGUAACGCGUAGAAAUCUACCUAGUAGUGGGGGAUAGCCCAGAGAAAUUUGGAUUAAUACCGCAUACGCCCUACGGGGGAAAGCGGGGGAUCUUCGGACCUCGUGCUAUUAGAUGAGUCUGCGUCGGAUUAGCUUGUUGGUGAGGUAAUGGCUCACCAAGGCGACGAUCCGUAGCUGGUCUGAGAGGAUGACCAGCCACACUGGAACUGAGACACGGUCCAGACUCCUACGGGAGGCAGCAGUGGGGAAUAUUGCACAAUGGGCGCAAGCCUGAUGCAGCCAUGCCGCGUGUGUGAAGAAGGCCUUAGGGUUGUAAAGCACUUUCAGCAGUGAGGAAAGGGGUGUCGUUAAUAGCGCCAUCCUGUGACGUUAACUGCAGAAGAAGGACCGGCUAACUCCGUG
rnacentral:rRNA from 1 species